rnacentral:lncRNA from 12 species
AUGGCUCUGAUUUUUUUUCCUGGUCUUUGCCAGCAAAUUUUCAGGGAUCUCUUAGCAGAAGAGAGGACAUUGUUUGCUGCAUCUUCCACUCCUGUGGAGUUCUUGGACGCUGACUGUUUACAGGGGCUUGCAACUGCCUUUGUUUCCCAUCUGGUAUUAAUUUUUGCUUCUUCUUCUUUACCAGGCUUUGACUCAUCUCCGCCCAAACCUUCAGGUUUCCUGAAGGCUCACGUCCCAAGACAUGGCGCCCCAUCCAGGUAUCAAAAGUGAGACUGCGUAUGUAAACUAAGGUAAUGCUACACUAGUAUGUCAUGAAACUCAAGAUACCAGAUUUCUGCCCAACUCAAAGGGAGAAGACAAGAAAUGUGAGUAAAGAAGGUAUUACAUGUAGACUAAACACCUGUGCAGGUAGUUGGCAUGCCAUGUGAGAUACUUGACCUGGGCUUUCAGAUGAACUAUGUGUGUUUACAACAAUUAUAACACCAGAUGUUUUUCUGUACUUUACCCACUAGAAGAUAGAAGUGUAUAUAACUAGGAAAUGAGGAUAAUAAGGGGGAGGGAAGUCGGGUUGUAAUUGGCAGAGACAGGGGUGGGUGGCCUGCUGCUUAUCAUCCCAAGACCCACUACCUCAAGGUUUUUUUCUGUUUUUGUUUUUGUGUUUUUCCAAGGAGUCAGUAAGUGUAAAGCUUCUUAAGUGCAUAGAUCUUGUGACAUCUGGGCCUGGCCCAUCUCUGGCUAUAAAGUUCUGAUAAACACUUGUUUGUUUUUUUAAGAUUUAUUUAUUUAUUUGAAAGAGAAAGCACAGUGGGGGAGGGGCAGAGGGAGAGAGUCCCAAGCAGACUCCAUGCUGAGCACAGAGCCCAACUCAGCACUCAAUGCCAGGACCCUGAGAACAUGACUUGAGCCCAAACCAAAAGUCGGAUGCUCAAUGGAUUGCACCACCCAGGUGCCCUGCUGGUAAGCACUUGCAAUGGGUGUAAUAUUGGUCAAUACAAAUUUGACCUCAGUUCCAGAAAUUUAGGCACCUCAUUUAGCCUCAAAUUUCAGACAAGUGAGAAAAACCCAUGUAGUCUAUUUCUUAUUGGUCCACUUUACUGAAGUUAUUUAUCUUGAAGAGAGAGUUCAUCAAGAUAGGGAAAGUUAGGAAGGGGUAUACACAAAGUGUCAACAGCAUCAUGCUCCUGUCCUGAACAUCAUACCCUUCCAAAGAAAAGAUCCAUUGGGUUCCUAAGGGCAUGUUUUUUUCGUAGUUGAUAAAAUAAGAUUCCAACAUGCAGAGCCAAUCUGGAUGGCUCCGACAGCCAUCGCCUCAGUGCCACCUUCCCCAAGGCAAACUCCAACUUCACUCUGCUGUGAUUUUCAUUGCACUGACAUCGCAUAGCAUACAUUCCAGCACAUGACCACAUUCUGACUGGUCAUUGGCCAAUAUUGCACCUCCUACACCCACCCCAGCAUGAAUAUCCAUCUCUUCAGCUCCAAAGUUCAGAAAACAGGUACCUUGUCUCCUAGUUUGCUUACUCUUAUCAUUAAACAACAGCAACAAAUUUUUUCACUCUCUUUUUUUUUAAUCUCCCUUCUUUCCCCCUACUCCUAUCCCUGCCCCCAUUAGAGACUUCAUGCUCAAAGAAACUGGAGAUUGAGACCCAGGGAGUAGAGGGGGAUAGUCAUACUUCUCAUUCCAUGUUCCUCUGACUGCUAGAAUUAUAAGUCCCAGGAGUAAGUCCUUUCAAUGGAAAGGAAAGGAAUCUGAGGGCAUUCUGUGGAAGUAGAGAAAAUAUGAAAGAAGAAAGAUAUUUUGUAAGAGGUCUUCUUGCCUGGAAAGGGGGAAUCAAGGUAAAGCACGACGGGAAGCGGGUGAGAGUGGGAGAGAAAAUAAACAUGAAGGUCUUGAGAAAGAGUGAGAAGAA